rnacentral:tRNA from 1 species
AAAUAAAGUGUCCAAGGAUGGGAAUCGAACCCAUAGUGUUCCGUUUACUGGGCAGAUGCCAUGUCCACUAGGCAUACUUCAUC